rnacentral:piRNA from 1 species
UAAAGGGCACUCUGGUCUCAGAACCAUGGA